rnacentral:rRNA from 1 species
GACGAACGCUGGCGGCGUGCUUUACACAUGCAAGUCGAACGGUGAAGCGCCUUCCUUUUUGGUGGGUGUGGAUGAGUGGCGAACGGGUGAGUAACACGUGAGUAACCUGCCCCCUUCUUCUGGAUAACCGCAUGAAAGUGUGGCUAAUACGGGAUAUUCUGGGUCUGUCGCAUGAUGGGUCUGGGAAAGAUAUUGUUUCGGUGGGGGAUGGGCUCGCGGCCUAUCAGCUUGUUGGUGGGGUGAUGGCCUACCAAGGCGGUGACGGGUAGCCGGCCUGAGAGGGUGGACGGUCACACUGGGACUGAGACACGGCCCAGACUCCUACGGGAGGCAGCAGUGGGGAAUAUUGCACAAUGGGCGCAAGCCUGAUGCAGCGACGCCGCGUGAGGGAUGGAGGCCUUCGGGUUGUGAACCUCUUUCGCCAGUGAAGCAGGCCUGCCUCGUUUGUGGGUGGGUUGACGGUAGCUGGAUAAGAAGCGCCGGCUAACUACGUG